UACGGGGGGGGGCAAGCGUUGUUCAGAAUUACUGGGCGUAAAGGGCGCGUAGGCGGUUGGAUAAGUCAGCUGUGAAAACCACGGGCUUAACUCGUGGCCUGCAGUUGAGACUGUCUGGCUUGAGUGUGGGAGAGGAGAGUGGAAUUCCUGGUGUAGCGGUGAAAUGCGCAGAUAUCAGGAGGAACACCGGUGGCGAAGGCGGGUCUCUGGGCCGAUGACUGACGCUGAGGAGCGAAAGCGUGGGGAGCGAACAGG
rnacentral:rRNA from 1 species